CCCUUAGAUGUUCUGGGCCGCACGCGUGCUACACUGAGUGGAUCAGCGGGUCGGGUUGCGCGAAAGUGUUUCCUAAUCUUGAAAUCCGCUCGUGAUGGGGAUUGACGGUUGCAAUUUUCCGUCAUGAACGAGGAAUACCUUGUAAGCGCGGGUCAUCAUCCCGCGCUGAAUACGUCCCUGCCCUUUGUACACACCGCCCGUCGCUCCUACCGAUUGAGUGGUCCGGUGAGGCUUUGGGAUCUGAGCAAAAAGAGCGUUUCGCUCGUUUGGCUCGGAAAACUCAGUCGAACCUUAUCAUUUAGAGGAAGGAGAAGUCGUAACA
rnacentral:rRNA from 1 species